GAUGAAGAACGCAGCGAAAUGCGAUACGUAAUGUGAAUUGCAAAUUCAGUGAAUCAUCGAGUCUUUGAACGCACAUUGCGCCCCCUGGUAUUCCGGGGGGCAUGCCUGUCCGAGCGUCAUUGCUGCCCUCAAGCACGGCUUGUGUGUUGGGCCCCGUCCUCCGAUCCCGGGGGACGGGCCCGAAAGGCAGCGGCGGCACCGCGUCCGGUCCUCGAGCGUAUGGGGCUUUGUCACCCGCUCUGUAGGCCCGGCCGGCGCUUGCCGAUCAACCCAAAUUUUUUAUCCAGGUUGACCUCGGAUCAGGUAGGGAUACCCGCUGAGCUUAAGCAUAUCAAUAAGCGGAGGA
rnacentral:misc_RNA from 1 species